CCGGGCCUGGAGCCGGCGGCCCCGCCCCUCGGCCGCCGCCGCCUCCCCCGCCGGCGCCAUGGCCGCUGCGGCCGGGGACGGCUCUGUGAAGCCACUGCAAUGCGCCAUGAAGUUAGCCAACGGGGCCAUCGAGCUGGACACCGGCAACCGGCCCCGGGAGGCAUAUACAGAAUACCUGAGGAGCAUCCACUACAUCUCCCAGGUGCUGCUGGAAGAAGUGGAGGCCACUAAAGAAGCUGGGGAAACUGUGACCUCUGAUACCUCAAAGAUGCUGAAGCUGGCCGAGCAGUGUCUGGAGAGGGCCCAGUCAACAGCUGCCAAGCUUGGGAAAACAUGCCUGAGGCCAGCCAUGCCUGUGGCUGCACCCGUGCCCUCCCCUGCUAGUCGACACCGCCGGGUAUACUCAGAUGAGGGAGGGAAGCUCUCUCCGUUCCUGCCACCUGAGAUCUUCCAGAAGCUUCAGGUCGUGGAGUCACAAAGCUCUAAGAAGGAGCUGACACCCCUGGAAGAGGCCUCCCUGCAGAAUCAGAAGCUGAAGGCUGCCUAUGAGGCCCGGAUGGCCCGGCUGGACCCCAGCCAGGCCAUGCAGAAGACAUCCCUGACCCUGUCCCUGCAGCGCCAGAUGAUGGAGAACCUGGUGAUCGCUAAGGCCCGGGAGGACACACUGCAGAGGAAGAUGGAAGAGCGCCGGCUGCGGCUCCAGGAGGCUGCCAACAAGAGGUUCUGCAGCCAGGUUGCCCUGACCCCCGAGGAGCGGGAGCAGCGGGCCCUCUAUGCUGCCAUCCUGGAGUAUGAGCAAGACCAUGACUGGCCAAAGCUCUGGAAGGCCAAGCUCAAGAGGAGCCCAGGGGACCUGUCCCUGGUGACCAGCCUGGUCUCCCACCUGCUCAGCGUUCCCGACCACCCCAUCUCCCAGCUCCUGAAGAAGCUCCAGUGCGCGGUGUACCGGGCGCUGUACCCCAUCGUGAGCAAGGGCGCCGCCCCCGGCUGCUGUUCCCUGCCCCCCGACGCCGACGGGCUGCUGGCUCCUGGAAGCCGGCGGCUCCGGCCUUCUCAGAGCCUCUACUGCAUGCCUUCCCCGCUGGAGCCCAGCCUGGCCACAAAGCCCCCAGACGGCCCUUGCGCCAGCCCACCCCGCCCCGGCAGCCCCGCAGGGCCUCCCUCACCCCAGCUGCUGGGCAAGGACAGCUCAUUUGAGGACCUAGAACAGUUCUUGGCUACUCCUGAGAGCAGGGGUCGGGGCCCUGGGGAGCGGCCUGAGCCCCAGACCCCAGGGGUGAGAAAGGAGCCUAUGCUGGAGCAGCUGAAGGGCACCGUGCAGGACAUACACGAUGCCAUCGACAGGCUGCUCUCGCUCACCCUCCUGGCUUUUGAAGGCCUAAACACGGCCGCCUCCAAGGACCGCUGCCUGGCCUGCAUCGAGGAGCCGUUCUUCUCCCCACUGUGGCCCCUGCUGCUGGCCGUCUACAGGAGCGUUCACCGCCUGCGGGAGGCGGCCUUGAGUCGGAGCAUGGAGCUGUACAGGAAUGCGCCCCCGGCAGCCAUCGGCGUCCCCACCAGGCUCCUCCCGCAGGACCCCGAGGCCACGGGAGCGGGCCCCUACCCCUACUGCGCCGCAGCCCAGGAGCUGGGGCUGCUGGUUCUGGAGAGCUGCCCCCAGAAGAAGCUGGAGUGCAUUGUUCGGGCCCUGCGGGUCAUCUGCGCCUGUGCGGAGGAUUACUACCGGGCCCGGGAGGCUGCGUUGCAGCCUGGCAUCGCCGCUAUGUCCCUGGAGCCUCCUGGCUGCAUGUGUGUCUCCCCAACAGUGGUGCUGAUGACUUGCUGCCCAUCCUGUCCUUUGUGGCGCUGAAGAGUGGCCUCCCUCAGUUGGUGUCGGAGUGUGCAGCCCUGGAGGAGUUCAUCCAUGAGAGGUACCUGAUUGGAGAGGAGGGCUACUGCCUGACAUCCCUGCAGAGCGCCCUGAGCUAUGUGGAGCUGCUGCCCCGGCGGGCCCUGGGCAAGUAGUGGAGGACUGGCCGGCCAAGGACUGGUCAGGAGGCACCUGUGCGGGGCAGCAGGCCAGCCAUGGAGGGGCUCUUGCCCCCACCUGACUUCGGCCCCCAGGGCUCAGGGAGGCCCCUCUGCUCCUGGUAGGAUGAACAUCCUGGCGGCUUGGGCCGCUGACAACGAGAGGACUGAGGGGGCUGUGGGCCUGGCCGAGGGCAGCUCUGCUCCCCUACGUUUCCGUGACGUUUGGAGCCCCCUGAGCCAGGUUGUUGUCUGAGUCGAGAAGAGAGCUAAUCACCCCCAUAGAGGCCCGAGGCCCAGGUGGGUUCAGACCAUGCUGUUUAUUUAUUGGACACUGACCACUCUGUCCUGGAGGCCCAAGUGUCCCCAGGGCAUCUACCCAUGUCUGGGACCUCUGAGCCACACUUCACCCUUGGCGGUGGGCAUGGAAAUCCUGAGACCCCCACCAAUCCCCACCCCCACUCAGCCCCUGUGGGGUCGGUGCGAAGCCUGGGUCAGCACCUGCCUGUAGCCCACCACCUGCCCACAAACUGUUACAGGCCCCUGGGCAGCCACUGACCCAACUGGAAAUAAAAAGGUCACUGGCA